rnacentral:ncRNA from 1 species
CCAACGGCUCUUUUAAGAGCCACCACAGUCCACUGGAGAGUUCCU